GUCGUAGCUCAGUUGGCUAGAGCAUCGGAUUGUGGCUCCGAAGGCCGUGGGUUCGAGUCCCAUUG
rnacentral:tRNA from 1 species